GACGAACGCUGGCGGCGUGCUUAACACAUGCAAGUCGAACGGAAAGGCCCUGCUUUUGUGGGGUGCUCGAGUGGCGAACGGGUGAGUAACACGUGAGUAACCUGCCCUUGACUUUGGGAUAACUUCAGGAAACUGGGGCUAAUACCGGAUAGGAGCUCCUGCUGCAUGGUGGGGGUUGGAAAGUUUCGGCGGUUGGGGAUGGACUCGCGGCUUAUCAGCUUGUUGGUGGGGUAGUGGCUUACCAAGGCUUUGACGGGUAGCCGGCCUGAGAGGGUGACCGGACACAUUGGGAAUGAGAUACGGCCCAGAGUCCUACGGGAGGCAGCAGUGGGGAAUAUUGCACAAUGGGCGGAAGCCUGAUGCAGCAACGCCGCGUGCGGGAUAACGGCCUUCGGGUUGUAAACCGCGUUCGCCUGUGACGAAGCGUGAGUGACGGUAAUGGGUAAAGAAGCACCGGCUAACUACGUG
rnacentral:rRNA from 1 species